rnacentral:rRNA from 1 species
GACGAAGGAUCCAAGCGUUAUCCGGAUUUAUUGGGUUUAAAGGGUGCGUAGGUGGCUUAAUAAGUCAGUGGUGAAAUCUCGAUGCUUAACAUCGAAACUGCCAUUGAUACUGUUAGGCUUGAAUAUGUUUGAAGUGGGCGGAAUGUAUAGUGUAGCGGUGAAAUGCUUAGAUAUUAUACAGAACACCGAUUGCGAAGGCAGCUCACUAAGCCAUUAUUGACACUGAUGCACGAAAGCGUGGGUAGCGAACAGG